CUACGGGAGGCUGCAGUGGGGAAUCUUAGACAAUGGGCGCAAGCCUGAUCUAGCCAUGCCGCGUGAGUGAUGAAGGCCUUAGGGUCGUAAAGCUCUUUCGCUGGGGAAGAUAAUGACGGUACCCAGUAAAGAAACCCCGGCUAACUCCGUGCCAGCAGCCGCGGUAAUACGGAGGGGGUGUAGCGUUGUUCGGAAUUACUGGGCGUAAAGCGCGCGUAGGCGGACUGUUAAGUCGGGGGUGAAAUCCCGGGGCUCAACCCCGGAACGGCCUUCGAUACUGGCAGUCUGGAGUUCGAGAGAGGGGAGUGGAAUUCCGAGUGUAGAGGUGAAAUUCGUAGAUAUUCGGAGGAACACCAGUGGCGAAGGCGGCUCACUGGCUCGAUACUGACGCUGAGGUGCGAAAGUGUGGGGAGCAAACAGGAUUAGAUACCCGCGUAGUC
rnacentral:rRNA from 1 species